GCUGAGAUAAUGACCAUAGAUCGG
rnacentral:siRNA from 1 species